rnacentral:rRNA from 1 species
AUUGAACGCUGGCGGCAGGCCUAACACAUGCAAGUCGAACGAGUGGCGGACGGGUGAGUAAUGUCUGGGAAACUGCCUGAUGGAGGGGGAUAACUACUGGAAACGGUAGCUAAUACCGCAUACCAUCAGAUGUGCCCAGAUGGGAUUAGCUAGUGGGUGGGGUAACGGCUCCCCAAGGCGACGAUCCCUAGCUGGUCUGAGAGGGUGACCGUCCACACUGGAACUGAGACACGGUCCAGACUCCUACGGGAGGCAGCAGUAGGGAAUAUUGCGCAAUGGGCGCAAGCCUGAUGCAGCCAUGCCGCGUGAGUGAAGAAGGUCUUCGGAUUGUAAAGUACUUUUAGCAGGGAAGCGUUACCUGCUGAGAAAGCAACGGCUAACUCCGUGCCAGCAGCCGCGGUAAUAC